UCUCUCUCACCUCUUCCUUUUUUUCUUUCUUUCUCAAUUUUUUCUCGUCUCUUUUUCUUUUUCUUUCUCGUCUCUUUCUCUCUCAUCUCUUUCUCUCUCAUCUCUUUCUCUCUCAUCUCUUUCUCUCUCAUCUCUUUCUCUCUCAUCUCUUUCUCUCUCAUCUCUUUCUCUCUCAUCUCUUUCUCUCUCAUCUCUUUCUUUCUCUCUGUCUGUCUUUCUCUUUCUUUUUGAAAUGCGCGCAGUAAAGAAGCUUAACCGCGCAUGCGUACAUAAAAAUCUUUGAGUCAGAAUUUUUUUUUCUCAUGAAAUUGUGCCGGAAUUACCUAGUUAAAUGGAUUAUUUCAUUUUUUUAAUCAGUAAAUUUCAUUAAAACUAGUGCUAGUGAAGGUAAGAAUAUAUAUAUCAAAGGUCCUUGAUUUAUCGUAAAUAUUAAUUAUUAUCUGUUUUUCUAAAUUUAUUGUAUUUAAUUGUUGUAAAUUCUUGAAUUAUUUAUUGUACCUAAAUAAACGGUUAGAUAUGCAACCGUAAGAGGGCAGAACUCGAGUCUGUUCAGUUGUAUAACGACCGUAAGGGUCCCCCUAGGGGCAAUAAAAAGAAUUUAUCAUGAACGGCUAUUCAGAUUUUGUUCGUACUAGUUUUCGUAACUGUAGUAUUUUCCGCCUAUUUUUUGGUACCUCAACAUCUCAUAGAAUCCUUUUAUCUUGAGCACAACCUUCACCCAAAAUUUGAGCUUAUCUUAUACAAGUUUGUAGAUCAAAAGUUGAUAAUGAUUGUUAAUUACAGAAAAAGACAAAAAAGGAUUGCAAACUUCACUGAAAAGUGAAUCAAUUGACAAAAAAUUCAUGCAGAUACUUUACUUACGAAAUUUUGAAUACUCAGUGUUUCGGUUCAUGUUUUUAUUGAUGGGCAAUUGGGAUUAUCUUUUUCGAACCCUUUUUGCACAAGAAUUGUACCCGAUCUUGAUGAUACCAAUGCUUAGCAAAAUUAUAAUUUUAAUUGUAAUUGUCUUAUUAUCUUCUAGUCAUCUAAAUCACAAUCACCGCCAACAAUAAAAAUUACCGAUUACUUAACAAAUAAUCGAAUAAAUCAAACAAUGAAUAAAUGAAAGAGUUUUCUCUGGUAAAGAUGAUAGUUAUUACGAUAAAGAUUCAUAUUGAAAUGAAAGACAAUAAGGAUCAAAGGCAAAGUGAUGACAUUCUCUUUAUUCUCGCCUGUAUCUUUUCUAUCUUUUGGUGAGUUUAUUUCUCGUCAAUAUUGUUUGAACAGUCGGUUUUCGAUUGAUACAUUUUAUCACGAUAGUAAGCUAAUCGCCUGAGUAAUUAAACCCUCUUCAAGUUUCAACUUGCUUAAUACAAACUACAAAUCCUUAGUUUGUACAACAACGAAAAUGAGAUGAGAACACGAAUUAUGCUGGGUACGAAUAGAAAUAAUUUUUCUUCUAAUUGUGUGAGAAUUUGUCCAUUGAACUUCAUCUGAAUCAAUUAAUUCUUCACUUAAAAUGAUUUCAGAAUUAUUAUUUUAUGUGCAAUUGAAAUGAAUUUCACUUUCAAUACUAAUUAUACUUUUUGUCACAAAAGUCUAACAGUUUCAUUAGAAUUGACCUUAUUUUGUUUUUGAGGAUUAGAAAGAACCAUCCAAAGUACGAAAUAAAGUUAAGGGCAAUAGGGUGACCGCUCCAAGUUCGGUAUAUUCUCCUUAAGGUAAGACUCAAGAUAUGUCCGUCAGCUCGAUAUCUUCACUUUUCAGCUGAUUUUUUUUUUCGGCUUAAAGUUCAAGCUACAUAUGAAAAUGGACUUAAUUGUUGAGUUAAUUUUGUUUGUUUAAAUUAGGUUAGGUCUUCGCUAAUAAGGGUCACCACGACCAAAGAAAGGCCCGGAGGGCCUGAGACAAUCAAACCGAACUUUAAGCCGAGAAAAAAAAUCAGCUGAAAAGUGAAGAUAUCGAGCUGACGGACAUAUCUUGAGUCUUACCCUCCUUAAAUUGUUAGAGUAACGUCAAUCUCGUAGGUCCAUAAGAAGGUAAAAUCACAUGAAACAAUAAGCACAGAUUUAUAAUCAAGACGAUAGUUUUAUAAUAUGGGUGUUUUUAUUUGGAUAAAAACAACCAACGAAAUAUCGUUGAUUAACUUCAAACUUUCGACAAUAAAUAGCAGCAGCUUCGGGUUCCGGUGAGAUUAAAAGUUGACUUGGAUUAUCAGGUGAAGCUAAACCCGCUUGAUAAGCGGCCAUCUUAAAUGGACUUAACAUUUUGUAGUACAAAUUUGAGUCGAUCUUUUACUCAUCUUUUCUUUAGAUAAGUGUCCUUCUUGAUUAUCUAACGGGAGUUACUUUCUCUCUCCUCUCUUUUCAGAAUUCAUUCAAAUUAGCCACUCUAUGUUUAAUUCAUUUCGUCUUAAUUUCUUAUGAACGGGCAGACAGAUCAUUUUUGAACGAUUCUUUCGCACUAAGAGAAUUUAGGUAGAAUUUUUGGUUGCCGAAAUUUCGCAUAGAUAUGUUCAUCAAUUCGAAACAAUCAAUAAAUUGCAAUUAAAAAAGAGACUUUUUAUUCUGUGGUCUUUAUGUUUUCAUAUUAGACCGGUACAUCGUAGAUGUGUCCAUUAUUGAGCCUUCGAAUCCAUAUUGAAGUCGAGAUUAUCUGCCAUAGUCAACAUACCAUCCGAAUGCUUACAUACAGCGGUGAUUCGAUAAUUUGGAGAUGGUUUUACAUCCUUGACCAAGACAUUAAAAACGAUCUUGUUCUCGGACUCAAUUCGAGAACUGUGGAUAACAGCAU